rnacentral:lncRNA from 1 species
AUGAGCUUUAGCUGUUUAGGAUGUUUCCCAUGUGCAUCCUUUGCUGGUCUCCUUGGUAUAAGGGUCAUGUUGUGGGCAAGGAGGAGGUGUGAUUGGAGCAGAACUGGCAGAUGGUCCCUUGAAGGUCGUUUCUUGUUGCUGUCUCCUGUAGUGAUGCCAUAUGCUGUGCAGGGGGAUGUUUCCUUCCUCUUCAUGGAGUGUAAACUCAUCAAAACACUUCCCAGAAAAAAAGAGAACAUUAAAAACACGAACAGCAAAAGCCUGGUAAAAGUUGUAACCAGCUCUGACUGUCCAUGGUAUGACAGCCAACAAAUAUCACCUGCUGAUGAUUUACAGAUUCCUGGGAGAUGUGGUGUUGAGUCUCAAAGAACUGGAAUGAGAACAACUCACUCAACGUGCUUCUCAGGAAACAAUGUAAUGUAUCCACCCGUUUCAUGCUCUCCUAAUUUAGGACAUGUGUAGUGUGUAAUGAUGAAUAGGCCAACUGGUUAUGUUGCUGUAAAUCUCAUUCUCCACCUUACUAAGCACCCUUGAUUGACCCCAUCUUUUGUGAAAGCUCAGCCCAGGGUUUUCAUUUCACCUCUUGGGAAGGAGAAAUCACGCUAACUGUUUGCAAACAUGCUUCUGCAGAGAGAAAAAAUACAAUGUUUUGUUGUUUUUAUUUCAUUGGGCAGCCUUUUAAAGUGCUGUGACCCACUUUUGCCUCCCUUUAAACUGUGACCAGUAUUUAUUUAUCCCUUUUUAAACACAGUAAUUUAAUUAAGAAACUAAUCAGCAGUGUUGAAAUGAUCUUUGAACUACACCUUUAUCACUGAAAGAAAUUUAUGAAUGCAUAAUACAAGAAAGAUUCUAUUACCUAAAAAGCUUUCUACUAAAAUGAUUUGGCAUCUGAAAAGCAAGGCUUGAAAUUCUGCACUAAAUUUACAAUAUGGAGAUGUGAAAAUUAUUUAUAGACUCUGAAAGAUGUUCCAACUGAAUCUGACAAGAUUGUCUGGAUUGUUUAUUAAGAAUAAAACUGUUUCAAGUUCAAAGGAUUUUGGAAGU